rnacentral:rRNA from 1 species
UUGGUGGUGGUAGACAAAUUUACCAAAUAUUCCCAUUUCAUUGCCAUGAAACACCCUAUAACUGUUCAGACUGUAGCAAGAGCAUUUUCUGACACAGUGUUCAAACUUCAUGGAAUGCCCCUGGUUAUAGUAACUGACAGAGACAGAAUUUUUACAAGCAAUUUGUGGCAGCAGCUGUUCAAAUCACUAAAGAUCAAACUGCACAUGAGCACAAGCUAUCAUCCCCAAACUGAUGGUCAGAAUGAGAGGGUGAACCAAUGUUUAGAGAAUUAUUUAAGGUGCAUGUGUUUCCAACAACCAAGGAAGUGGCAUGCUUGGUUGGCACUAGCUGAGUGGUGGUACAACACAAGUUUCCACACUUCAUUGCAAAUGACUCCCUUCCAGGCCCUAUAUGGGUUUCCCCCUCCUAUG